rnacentral:misc_RNA from 1 species
CGCACAUUGCGCCCGCCGGAAUUCCGGCGGGCAUGCCUGUUCGAGCGUCAUUUCAACCCUCAAAUCCCCAGGAUUUGGUGUUGGGACGUCCGCGUCAGCGGGGGUCCUCAAAUCUAUAGGCGGUACCGCACGGCACUGAACGCAGUAAACUUUAUUCGUUUAGUAAGUCUGGCGGCUGCUUGCCUCUAAACACCCAAUUAUCAAGGUUGACCUCGGAUCAGGUAGGAAUACCCGCUGAACUUAA